rnacentral:rRNA from 1 species
AUUGAACGCUGGCGGCAGGCCUAACACAUGCAAGUCGAACGAGUGGCGGACGGGUGAGUAAUGUCUGGGAAACUGCCUGAUGGAGGGGGAUAACUACUGGAAACGGUAGCUAAUACCGCAUACCAUCGGAUCGGCCCAGAUGGGAUUAGCUAGUGGGUGGGGUAAUGGCUCACCUAGGCGACGAUCCCUAGCUGGUCUGAGAGGAGGACCAGCCACACUGGAACUGAGACACGGUCAAGACUCCUACGGGAGGCAGCAGUGGGGAAUAUUGCACAAUGGGGGAAAGCCUGAUGCAGCCAUGCCGCGUGUAUGAAGAAGGCCUUCGGGUUGUAAAGUACUUUCAGCGGGGAGGCGUUACUCGCAGAAGAAGCACCGGCUAACUACGUGCCAGCAGCCGCGGUAAUAC